rnacentral:rRNA from 1 species
CCGCGUCUGAUUAGCUAGUUGGUAAGGUAACGGCUUACCAAGGCGACGAUCAGUAGCCGACCUGAGAGGGUGAUCGGCCACAUUGGAACUGAGACACGGUCCAAACUCCUACGGGAGGCAGCAGUGGGGAAUAUUGCACAAUGGGCGAAAGCCUGAUGCAGCAACGCCGCGUGAGUGAUGAAGGCCUUCGGGUCGUAAAACUCUGUCCUCAAGGAAGAUAAUGACGGUACUUGAGGAGGAAGCCCCGGCUAACUACGUGCCAGCAGCCGCGGUAAUACGUAGGGGGCUAGCGUUAUCCGGAUUUACUGGGCGUAAAGGGUGCGUAGGCGGUCUUUCAAGUCAGGAGUGAAAGGCUACGGCUCAACCGUAGUAAGCUCUUGAAACUGGGAGACUUGAGUGCAGGAGAGGAGAGUGGAAUUCCUAGUGUAGCGGUGAAAUGCGUAGAUAUUAGGAGGAACACCAGUUGCGAAGGCGGCUCUCUGGACUGUAACUGACGCUGAGGCACGAAAGCGUGGGGAGCAAACAGGAUUAGAUACCCUGGUAGUCCACGCUGUAAACGAUGAGUAC